rnacentral:lncRNA from 1 species
UGUGGGGUGGGGGGAGGGGGGAGGGAUAGCAUUAACAUGUUAAAUGACGAGUUAAUGGGUGCAGCACACCAACAUGGCACAUGUAUACAUAUGUAACUAACCUGCACGUUGUGCACAUGUACCCUAAAACUUAAAGUAUAAUUUAAAAAAAAGGAAAAAAUAAAAAAAUAAACAGGAAAGGUCUUAGGGUUGAUCCAAGGAGCAUUGCUCCUGAUAAGCUGUGGUUUUAUUCCCUUUUGAGAAGUAGCAUAGGAGUGGUAGAAAUCACAUGGACUUGGUUAACCACUAAGACCUGGGUACAAAUCCUACUUCCACCUCUCAUUAGCUGUAGGUCCUUGGACUACUUACUUCAUCUCUGAGUCUUUGUAUCCAGCUUCGCCAAACUUUAUAAGGCUCAGGAAAAAUACAAAAGGACAGAACGCCAUGAGGGAAGGGCGGGCCCUUAAUACACAUUCCCUUCCUCUUUCUUAUGAUGUGGUUAUUGGUUUCCCUUGGAUGACUAUUUAAAAUAAGAGUCUGAAACACUCCACAAAUGUGUGAGAGCACAGCUGCUCAUCUAGCAUUUGAGGUUUUUAUUACGCAAACUGAUAAGACAUAUUCUGUAAUUGGUGCAUGUUCUUUUUUUGCCUAAUGACACUAAUCUGUUUUAUCUUAGUCAUUUAACUGAGUUUCAUGAUUAGCACAGGCAAGGUUUUAGGGAUUUAAAUCAUUUGUUUGAUGUUUUUGCUUUCAGGCAUGUUUGAUUAUUUAUUAAAAUCGAUAAAAUCAGCUCUGUCAACUAGUUAUUAAAACUAUAAUUCUUUUAUUGGCUAAUACCAGGAGGGCUGAGGCAAAAGAAAAACUAAAACAUUACAUGAAUUCUUGAUUAUGAAGCAAGUUUCUAUAGGGGUGGCCUACAUACUUUGCAUUAACUGAAGCCUGUUUAGAACAAGUCUGUUCUAUCUUUAGUCAAUAAGGAAAGGACCAAGUGGGUAAGCAUAUGUGCAACUCAUGUUCUAAUUUAUGCUUUAAAAUAAAAACAAGUUUGAAAGAAGCAAUGUGUUCUGGUCUUCAGAAAAGAAAUACCAAGUACGUGCUAAGGGAGAGUGGUGAAUAGUAUCCAAAGACGACUUCCCUCCAUUCCUUCCCACCCUGUACCUGCAUGUCAUUCCAACCAUCAAGAGGUAAAUGCUCUGCCCCUUUUUCUGAAUCUGGUCCUGCCUGUGACCUGCUUUGGCUGGUGGAAUAUGGUGGGGGUGACACUCUGCCAGUUCUGGUCAAGGUCUUCAAGAGGCCUUUAAGAGCUUCCACUUUGAAUGUAGAAAGCCAGAUGCCACGCUCUAAAAAAGCUUGGGCCAGAAUACUAAAUGAUGAAACACCACAUGGAGAAAGAAGGACACAUGGUGAAGUUCAGAGAUGCAAUGUGGGACAAGUAAGUAGCAUCUUCUUGUAGCUCCCAGCCCAGCCCACCCCAUAUGGAACAGAAGAACUGCCCAGAUAAGCUCUACUAGCAUUCCUAAUGUAAGUACUGUGAAUAAUAAUAAAUUAUUAUCUUUUUAAGCCACUAAGUUUUGGGGUGCUCUGUUAUUCAUCAAUAUAUAACUUAAACAAGGGCAGGAGGGAUAAGAGAAUAACCACAGACUUUCAGGUAACUUUUAAAAUAAAAUAUUUCAUUGAAGGAGUGAAUUUCUAUUGGCCCAGGAUUAUCUCUUCCCUUCAAUGAAAUUUCAACAGAAAAAUCUCCUCUUACUGAAACAUUGUAGCAAAGAGAGAGAACGCACUCAGAUGAGAAAACAUUGGUCUAGCAUUCAGAGUUCUGGCUCCAGCCCGGGCUCUGCCACUCAGUGAAACAAUGCUGGAUAAAGCAGUUCCCCCUUUGGGCUUCCAUUUUGUCAUCAGUAAAAUGAAAAAAAGUGGCUAAGUGGGUCAUUUGGCCUAGGAUUUAAAGCCUUAGGUGUAGAUGCUUAAACAUGAACUCUAUGUAUUGUUUUACACGUGAUCAGAGAAAGAUACUCAAGGAUGGAUAAUAGAUAACGUUCUCCACAAAACUUUAUGUCUCAUUAUCUGAACUCACUGCCUGUGUAAUGUGGUGUUAGUAUUUGUUUUUAAAAACUAUAACUUGUGACCAAUGCAGUUAUGUUGCAUUGUAUUUUGUAUGCUGACUAAAUUUUAAUUUGAAAUUUUCAAACUUUAAAAAAUGUUGUAAAUGUUGUAAGCUGGUUUAGGUAUUUCUUUGUUUCUAACAUUUUGGAAGUCUUAGAAGAUAGGACUGAUCUGUACCUCUUUUAAGCUGUAAGAAAUCCUAGGUGUUAGCUAUGUUGUCUCUAGGAUCCCUUUUAGCUCUACAAGUUGACUGUCACCCAGGUUUUCUUUCAUUAUUGCACCUACAGAAUAAUAAAGUACAUAUUGAUUAUAAUUUGUAAUUUUUCUGAUAUCUUUUUAUGGUACCAAGACAUCCUUCUGAACUAAUAGGCUUUAUCAGAAAUAAAAGUUUGUCCCAAGAAAUCAAAAAUUUUUACAGAAUUUUUUAUAAAAUAACAUUUACAGAAUGUUUUAUACGUCUUGGUGUUGUUAACAAAAUGUCUGCCCACUCUAUGUGGGCAACUUACUAACUUACUAACUUUACUAACUUUAUGUGAGCUAACUUACUAGCCAUAGGCAGCUCUUAGACAGGUGUCUUGUGUCUGUGUGUGUGCAUGAACACCUGUGCACAAUAAACAGAUGUUACCAAAAUCAUAAUAGUAUUUUAACCCCAGUUAUAUGAAAAAUUCAGCCUCUCCUCCUCUCCUGCAAAAAGACAAAAGAAACAGAAAGAAAAAAGAAGCUUUUAACUUUGUAAAAAAUUAAGUACCCAAGAGAAGAAAGAAAAAAGAUAGUAAAUAUAUAAAAUAUAUGCAAAUUAAAGCAGUAUAAUACCAUUAUCACCUGUCAAACUGGCAAAUUAAAAAAAUUAAUUCCCAAUGAAGCCAAAAUAAAGACAUUUUCAUUCUAAAAGACUAGAAGAAUUUGUCACCAGAUACUUACUAAAAAAUAUAUUAAAAAGUAUUCUUUAAGCUGAAGGAAGAUUAUCCCAGAUGAAAGAACAGACAUACAAAAAGAGUAAAGAGCAAAAAAAAUAUGGUAAAUAUGUGAUGUGUCAAAAUGAAUACUGAAUGUACAAAACAAUAAUACUAAUGUCUUACUGGCUUUUGUAAUAUAUAAAAUUAAAAUACACAAUGUCAUAUUAAUCAGUAGAGAAUAAAUAGCAUUAAAGUGGCUAUCACUAAUGUUCAUAAUAAAGUUAAAAGUCCUAAUAUUAGACUUUGAUAUGUCAAAGAUAGAUUUAAUAACCAUGUAAAUACCAAAAUAAUAUAAGUAAAACUUUCAAACUCCUAGAGCAAAGCAUGAGAUAAGAAAAACUCUUCAAUAAAAUUUAUCCAAAAACAUAAAAGAGAAAAGAAAAAGAAGAGGGGAUAGGCUAGAUAGAUAGGAGACACUCUGUAAUAUAUCAAUAAUUACAUUAACUAUAAAUGUACUAAAUGCUCCAUUUAAAUGACAAAGACUAUCCAACUGGAUUUAAAAACAAAACAAAACAAACCACUAUACACUGUUUAAAAGGCAUUAAGUAUAAUGGUUGAAGGCAAAAUAUUUUUAAAAAGAGUAAAAAUACAUGCCAUAUAAACUAACAAAAUGGAAACUGUGAAAUAAAACAAAAUAUAUUUUCUGUCAAAAGUACUAUUGGAGUAAACAGAGGCAAAUAAAUAACAAAUAUUUACUCCUCAGGAAAAUGCAGGAAUUCUAAAUUUGUAUGCACCUAACAACAUAACCUCAAAAUACAUGAAUCAAAAAUUAACAGAAUUAUAACAAGUAGUAGGUAAAUCCACAAUCAUAGUAGGAUAUUUUAACAUCUAUUUCUCUGCUACUAUCAGGCCAACUGAACAAAAUCAGUAUAGAUGUAAAAGAUCUGAAGAACACAACUAGCAAACCCAAUUCAAAGCAAGUACAUAGAAUACUGUCCCAAACUAGAUAAGGCACAUUCUUCACAGGCACAUGUAAAAUGUAACCACAAUUGAUAACAGGCCAUGAAGUAACUCCUAAUAAAUUUCAAGAGGUUGGAACCAUAUAGAGUAUGUUCUCUGACCUCUAGCAACUAAAUUAGUAAUCAAAAACAAAAAAAAGUAGAAAAUCCAUAUACAGUACUUGGAGUUUAAGAAAUCUGUUUUAGUGGCCUCUACUUCCAGCUAUGACAGAGUUGAUAGUUGAUAAUAAUCCUCUUCAAAAAUAACUAUAAAACUGGAUGUAAGAAUAAUGAUGAUGACUAAAUGUAAUUCUGCCACUGUUGGUGAGAGAAUUAUAAGCGACUUGGUGGCUGGCUUUUCUUUGUGUUUUUAUAUAUUCUCUGAGUUUUCUAAAUUUCCUAUUAGUCACUUUUCGUAAAUUCAACGAGAAUUACCUUUUCACUCAGUGACAAUAAGAAGUUAUUACAAAUAAGCUGUAAUUAAUUUUUUUAAUUAGUUAUGUCUUCAGUCAGUAGUUGUUAUUCUUAUAUGGGGGCCUUCAACGCUGUUUGAUGUUAUUAAAAAUCUACUAAUUCUUUGACCCAGCAGUUGCAUUUCUACAAAUGUAUUUCUACAAAACACAUUCACACAUCUGUCCAAAGGUGGAUAUGCAAGAAUAUAUACUGUAUACAGACGUAUAUUCUGACCUUUUAUUUACAGAACACUAGACUUAAAUGUCCACUUACAAGGGAGUGGUUAAAUAAACUGUGAUACAUCCAUAUAAAGAAGACUCAUGCAGGCAAUGACCGAGAGUAAAGUAGGUCUCUAUACUCUGAUAUACUGUAUGUCUUUGGUUAACUCUCUUUGUUUACAAGCAACAGAAGUUAAUUCUGGCUUAUGCAAGCAAAACAAAAUGAAUUGGAGCAAUAUGAGUUGAUCCACAGAAUGGACAGGAGCCUGGAGAGCAGAACAGGAAUCGGCUACCCUAGACCACUGGGCAUCAGAGAGCCAAGCAGAAAAGGGCUCAUUGUCCAGUGGAACAAACCAGCUCCGGCAGGAGAAGCUCCCCGUCCCUGCAGUGCACACAUGGCAACACAGCUUCUCCAGGGCCUCAGGAAAUAAUGACUUACGGCAAGAUAAAUAGUCAAGGGUUAUUUGGUCAUCACGCUGGGGCUCCAGCUCUUUAGAGGUUUGCACUGAUAGCAAAAACACUGUUGAGUGUCUAAAUAAUUUGAAUGAUAUUAAUACAAGACCCCAGAAAGAGGAAAACAACAAUAGCUUGAUGAUAGCAAGCUGACAAUGGGAAGCAUUUUGUGGGCUGAGAUGACUGUAAAAGCAAACAAUGGUGAUAUUGUCCUUCUGGUGUUAUUGUGUAAUGCUGUAAUUUAUGGAUGAAGUGGAAUUUCAAACAAAAUAAACAGACUUGAAUUUGUUAACUAAUACAGUAAGCAUAGAACAUUCUGUUAUGUGAA